rnacentral:rRNA from 1 species
AGAGUUUGAUCCUGGCUCAGGAUGAACGCUAGCGGGAGGCCUAAUACAUGCAAGUCGAACGGUGUAGCAAUACAUAGUGGCGGACGGGUGCGGAACACGUAUAUAACUUGCCCGGGGGUGGGGGAUAACGGGCUGAAAAGCCCGCUAAUACCGCAUAAGUAGUUUUGUUCGCAUGAACGGAAUUAGAAAGGAUUUAUCCGCCGCUGGAGGGGUAUGCGUCCGAUUAGCCAGUUGGCGGGGUAACGGCUCACCAAGGCUACGAUCGGUAACUGGUCUGAGAGGAUGAUCAGUCACACUGGCACUGAGACACGGGCCAGACUCCUACGGGAGGCAGCAGUAGGGAAUAUUGGGCAAUGGGCGCAAGCCUGACCCAGCCAUCCCGCGUGGGGGAAGAAGGUCCAUAGGAUUGUAAACUCCUUUUAACCGAGAGUAAAAGCUCGAUAACUUCGGGCCGUGAACGUAUCGGUGGAAUAAGGUUCGGCUAACUACGUGCCAGCAGCCGCGGUAAUACGUAGGAACCAAGCGUUGUCCGGAUUUACUGGGUUUAAAGGGUGCGCAGGCGGUUUGGUCAGUCGAAAAUGAAAUGUCAGGGCUUAACCUAGGCGCCGUUUUCGAUACUGCUAGACUUGAGAAUGGCGAGGCGGCUGGAAUGAGUGGUGUAGCGGUGAAAUGCGUAGAGAUCACUCAGAACACCAAUUGCGAAGGCAGGUCGCUGGCCCGUAUCUGACGCUCAGGCACGAAAGCGUGGGGAGCAAACAGGAUUAGAUACCCUGGUAGUCCACGCCCUAAACGAUGGAUACUCGAUAUUGGGCUUUUCAGCUCAGUGUCUUAGCAAAAGCGUUAAGUAUCCCACCUGGGAAGUACGAUCGCAAGGUUGAAACUCAAAGGAAUUGACGGGGGCCCGCACAAGCGGUGGAGCAUGUGGUUUAAUUCGAUGUACGCGAGGAACCUUACCUGGGCUAGAAUGCGCGUGACCGGGGCAGAAAAGUCCCUGUCGCAAGACACAAAGCAAGGUGCUGCAUGGCUGUCGUCAGCUCGUGCCGUGAGGUGUUGGGUUAAGUCCCGCAACGAGCGCAACCCCUAUGGUUAGUUGCCACCGCGAAAGCACGCACUCUAAUCAGACUGCCUUCGUAAGGAGUGAGGAAGGGGGGGACGACGUCAAGUCAUCAUGGCCCUUACGCCCAGGGCUACACACGUGCUACAAUGGUCGGUACAACGAGUCGCAAGCCGGUGACGGCAAGCUAAUCUCUAAAAACCGGCCUCAGUUCGGAUAGGAGUCUGCAACUCGACUCCUUGAAGUUGGAAUCGCUAGUAAUCGCGCAUCAGCCACGGCGCGGUGAAUACGUUCCCGGGCCUUUUACACACCGCCCGUCAAGCCAUGGAAGCUGAGGGCGCCUGAAGUCGGAGAUAAAACCUCUGCCGAAGGCGAAAUCGGUAACUGGGGCUAAGUCGAAACAAGGUA